GGGGACGUUACGGAUUCGACAGGGAUGAUCAGGGCUUGGGUUGCGCGUCGGAGGAUCGGCUUCGUCACCAACGUAACUAUAACAACUGGCAAAACAAACCAAAACCUAGCAUUCGCAGCGUAAGCUCGGAUCUGCUCUAUGUAUCCAUCGCCCAUGUGGCUAUGUAGAGCUCAACUUUAGUGGGAUACAGUCGGCAGUGCAACUUGAGCUGCCGGCAGGAGAUUUUCAAGUUAGCGCACAUGACGCCUGCUUAUCGGCAUAGUGCUGCGCGAAACUUAAAUGGAUAAGCUACACGCGUAGAUGCUCAAGUAGCUGAGUCUCUGGACGCGGGUUCGACUCCCGCCGUCUCCAUAG
rnacentral:tmRNA from 1 species